UGCCAGCAGCCGCGGUAAUACGGAGGGGGCAAGCGUUGUUCGGAUUUACUGGGCGUAAAGGGUGCGUAGGCGGACAGAUAAGUGAAACGUGAAAUCCUAGGGCUUAACUUUAGAAUUGCGUUUCAAACUAUCAGUCUUGAGUACAAGAGAAGUAAGUGGAAUUCUCAGUGUAGCGGUGAAAUGCGUAGAUAUUGAGAAGAACACCAGUGGUGAAGACGGCUUACUAUUUUGAUACUGACGCUAAGGCACGAAGGCUAGGGGAGCGAACAGGAUUAGAUA
rnacentral:rRNA from 1 species